UUUACCAGCCGCAAUCGAGCAAUAUAGUAUAUGGACUGUAUAUAUGCUUGCACGAUUCCGAUAAAGUGGGUUUAAGUUGGCGAGAGCGGCAAAAAAAAGAGAGAGCUUGGAAAACGGGCGCGUAACAAUUAACUUUUUCUUACCAACUGGAAUGGGAAUAAUAAUUGCACAUAUGGUAGUGCUGGGUAACGACCAACACUGGAGGAAAGUAUCGAUGGAACUGCUGGCAGUGCUGGAAAGGUUCGGUUUGAAAAGUACCGGAAAUGGCGCCCAAUUAAACAUUUAAAAACCUAGCAAUGUAAAAUUUCCCUAUUUCAAAAUUUGAUCAUUACAUUUUAUAAACAAAGAGAAGAAUAAAUCACAUUUUACGAA